GACGAACGCUGGCGGCGUGCUUAACACAUGCAAGUCGAACGGAAAGGCCCUGCUUUUGUGGGGUGCUCGAGUGGCGAACGGGUGAGUAACACGUGAGUAACCUGCCCUUGACUUUGGGAUAACUUCAGGAAACUGGGGCUAAUACCGGAUAGGAGCUCCUGCUGCAUGGUGGGGGUUGGAAAGUUUCGGCGGUUGGGGAUGGACUCGCGGCUUAUCAGCUUGUUGGUGGGGUAGUGGCUUACCAAGGCUUUGACGGGUAGCCGGCCUGAGAGGGUGACCGGCCACAUUGGUACUGAGAUACGGCCCAGACUCCUACGUGAGGCAGAAGUGGGGAAUAUUGCACAAUGGGCGGAAGCCUGAUGCAGCAACGCCGCGUGCGGGAUGACGUCCUUCGGGUUGUAAACCGCUUUCGCCUGUGACGCAGCGUUAGUGACGGUAAUGGGUAAAGAAGCACCGGCUAACUACGUG
rnacentral:rRNA from 1 species